rnacentral:rRNA from 1 species
GAUGAACGCUGGCUUCGUGCCUAAUACAUGCAAGUCGAGCGAACGGACGAGAAGCUUGCUUCUCUGAUGUUAGCGGCGGACGGGUGAGUAACACGUGGAUAACCUACCUAUAAGACUGGGAUAACUUCGGGAAACCGGAGCUAAUACCGGAUAAUAUUUUGAACCGCAUGGUUCAAAAGUGAAAGACGGUCUUGCUGUCACUUAUAGAUGGAUCCGCGCUGCAUUAGCUAGUUGGUAAGGUAACGGCUUACCAAGGCAACGAUGCAUAGCCGACCUGAGAGGGUGAUCGGCCACACUGGAACUGAGACACGGUCCAGACUCCUACGGGAGGCAGCAGUAGGGAAUCUUCCGCAAUGGGCGAAAGCCUGACGGAGCAACGCCGCGUGAGUGAUGAAGGUCUUCGGAUCGUAAAACUCUGUUAUUAGGGAAGAACAUAUGUGUAAGUAACUGUGCACAUCUUGACGGUACCUAAUCAGAAAGCCACGGCUAACUACGUGCCAGCAGCCGCGGUAAUACGUAGGUGGCAAGCGUUAUCCGGAAUUAUUGGGCGUAAAGCGCGCGUAGGCGGUUUUUUAAGUCUGAUGUGAAAGCCCACGGCUCAACCCGUGGAGGGUCAUUGGAAACUGGAAAACUUGAGUGCAGAAGAGGAAAGUGGAAUUCCAUGUGUAGCGGUGAAAUGCGCAGAGAUAUGGAGGAACACCAGUGGCGAAGGCGACUUUCUGGUCUGUAACUGACGCUGAUGUGCGAAAGCGUGGGGAUCAAACAGGAUUAGAUACCCUGGUAGUCCACGCCGUAAACGAUGAGUGCUAAGUGUUAGGGGGUUUCCGCCCCUUAGUGCUGCAGCUAACGCAUUAAGCACUCCGCCUGGGGAGUACGACCGCAAGGUUGAAACUCAAAGGAAUUGACGGGGACCCGCACAAGCGGUGGAGCAUGUGGUUUAAUUCGAAGCAACGCGAAGAACCUUACCAAAUCUUGACAUCCUUUGACAACUCUAGAGAUAGAGCCUUCCCCUUCGGGGGACAAAGUGACAGGUGGUGCAUGGUUGUCGUCAGCUCGUGUCGUGAGAUGUUGGGUUAAGUCCCGCAACGAGCGCAACCCUUAAGCUUAGUUGCCAUCAUUAAGUUGGGCACUCUAAGUUGACUGCCGGUGACAAACCGGAGGAAGGUGGGGAUGACGUCAAAUCAUCAUGCCCCUUAUGAUUUGGGCUACACACGUGCUACAAUGGACAAUACAAAGGGCAGCGAAACCGCGAGGUCAAGCAAAUCCCAUAAAGUUGUUCUCAGUUCGGAUUGUAGUCUGCAACUCGACUAUAUGAAGCUGGAAUCGCUAGUAAUCGUAGAUCAGCAUGCUACGGUGAAUACGUUCCCGGGUCU